CCUCUUUUGGUUCUAUUCGUGAAAAAUGUAUGACGUGGUACGUGAAAGAGAUGGUGUUGGAGAGAUAAGGUUGCUUCAGCACACAGAUGUCGUUGCGUUCACGGUCCAACCUGAGCUACGAGAUGGCGCUUGUCUAACUUGUGCCUAACAGAUUUUUUCGAACAAGUAUGGCUGAAGAAGCACGGUUUAACGCCGGUUUGUGGAAAAGAUUCAUGGGCAUAUAAAAAUAGAUUUCGACCGACACUUAAGUACAUCAAGGGAUGAAGGAAAAAGAGAAAGGCUGCCGAAUUGUCGAAUCAAAGAUUUGAUAAAUUAACUUCUGAUAGAUGAUAACACUAGAUAUGCUAUUCACCUACAUAAUCUUGAAUUUUGAAAACAGUAUGUGAGGUGGGAGAAAGGCAAUCCUAAAGAGAUCUCUCUUUUCAGAUGGUAAUGCAACAUGGAGUGCUGUUGAUUGUUGAAUUAUCUGUUAGCGAAAAUCAUCUUGACAGAAUAAAUUCUCAAAAUAUUUCAGUUACUGAGAAAUAUGUGAAGAAAUGUAGUGAAACAAGUAUUCAAGAAACCUUGGGAAAAUGUUUUUGUGACAUUUGGUAUUAUUUGAGAAUGGCAAUAUUUGAGCAAAAUCAAGCAAGCAUAUGGACUAACAACUAUGAAAGCAGUUAACCCAGGAACUAAACCUAAGGAUAAACCAAACAUGAAACACUUGCUUUACAAACAGCAUACUGCAUACACUUCGCCAUUCAACGAUCCUUUUUGAAAGAGCUGCAAUUUGCUCAAUUGAAGAAAACCAACAGUUGCCGUUGAUGCCUUGAUUGGUGUCUGAUUCAUUAUGGAGGACAUGCUGUAGCCAUAGAAAAGUCAACCUUGCUAUGAACAAGGAUGAUGGUGGUUGUUGGCACUGUUUUAAGGUUGGGGGUGUUCUUGAGAUAGCAAGGAGUAUGUUUGUGAAAAAACGUAUCUUUUAUUCUGCAUCCGGCCUAUUGAAAACGUUCGAUGGAUUAAAAAUUGGUCCAUCUUAUCAUCCAUUGGCAGUUUAUCAGUAUAGAAAAUACUUGUUCUGUGUUACCAACUUGCUCCUGAUUAGGAAUCAGUAGCCCUGAAAGGUUUCUAAACCAUUGAAUGGUGAUCAGUGAUCUGUGGUUGGAAAUGUAAUGGGCAGAGUAAAUUGGCCCAAUAUCCUUGGAGUAAAAACGCGUGAAGAAGUUUAGUAAAAACCAAUACUCAAGGUGCCAUGACAGAAGUAAUUCCAUAUUCCACCAUUGUUUCUACGGUUUUUAAUUGGUUCUGGUCAGCAGCAUAAAGCGUCUUGUUCAUUAUUGUCACCUUUACGAAGGAGAUUCUUCGAGUAUCCGUUAUGCUCAACCAAGUCUUGGUAGGCUGAAAAAUCUGGGCAACAUACGUUUUAUCAACAGCGUCUUGCAAAUAGAUGCGUCGCCAUUAAACGAUACUUUUUGGAAGAGCUACAGUAGGCCCAAUUAAACAAAAAGAAUCUUAUAGGCAAUCAAAUUGUCGAAUCCAACGAAUGCCGUUUAUGACCUUAUUGGAGUCUGUAUUCGUUAUGGAGGAUUUGCUGCGGCUACAGCAAAGACCGUUUUGCGAAGAACGAGGAUAAUGGUGUUGGCAUUGUUUGGACGAUAGGGGUAUUCUAGUCUUUACCAGCAGCCGUUUACAAGAUGGAACACAAAGGGUCAAGCAACAAAAGAAGCGAAAAAGAUGGGGAUUCUAGUUUAUUGUAACCCAUGAUUGUACGCCUAUCAGUGUUAAUAUCUAUAUUCGUGUUAUACUUCGUUCAGAGUGUAAAGGAACACAUUUUGUUGUCCUAUGAUAUCACAGUUGAUAAGUUACUGAUAUUUGCUGUACGGGAGGAUCUUGUUUUUUGUUUGUUUUGUUUCGAUUUUGUUUUUGUCUUGUUUCUUUUUUUUUUUUAUUUAUUCUCCUUUUAACCCCGAAACCCCGUUGCCAUUUUUUAAAUGUGAUUGUUAUGGUUUCUGGGUAGGUAGGUAAAAUAAGGUAAAAUCGGGGUUGCAUCGGUGUGAAAAAUUGACGAUUAUGUUCUAGUAUAAACCGAUUAUUUGCGUUUGCCUUUGGGGCGAAAAAGUGUCAACCCGAUACG